rnacentral:rRNA from 1 species
AUUGAACGCUGGCGGCAUGCUUUACACAUGCAAGUCGAACGGUAACAGGCCGCAAGGUGCUGACGAGUGGCGAACGGGUGAGUAAUGCAUCGGAACGUGCCCAGUCGUGGGGGAUAACGCAGCGAAAGCUGCGCUAAUACCGCAUACGAUCUAUGGAUGGAAGCGGGGGACCGUAAGGCCUCGCGCGAUUGGAGCGGCCGAUGUCAGAUUAGGUAGUUGGUGGGGUAAAGGCUCACCAAGCCAACGAUCUGUAGCUGGUCUGAGAGGACGACCAGCGCCACUGGGACUGAGACACGGCCUAGAGUCCUACGGGAGGCAGCAGUGGGGAAUUUUGGACAAUGGGCGCAAGCCUAAUCCAGCAAUGCCGCGUGGAGGAAGAAGGCCUUCGGGUUGUAAACUGCUUUUGUACGGAACGAAAAGGCUCUGGUUAAUACCUGGAGCUCAUGACGGUACCGUAAGAAUAAGCACCGGCUAACUACGUGCCAGCCGCCGCCGUAAAAC